AGAGAGGGAGCUUGCUUCCUUGAUCGAGUGGCGAACGGGUGAGUAACGCGUGAGGAGCCUGCCUCAAAGAGGGGGACAACAGUUGGAAACGACUGCUAAUACCGCAUAAGCCCACGACCCGGCAUCGGGAAGAGGGAAAAGGAGCAAUCCGCUUUGAGAUGGCCUCGCGUCCGAUUAGCUAGUUGGUGAGGUAACGGCCCACCAAGGCGACGAUCGGUAGCCGGACUGAGAGGUUGAACGGCCACAUUGGGACUGAGACACGGCCCAGACUCCUACGGGAGGCAGCAGUGGGGAAUAUUGCACAAUGGGGGAAACCCUGAUGCAGCGACGCCGCGUGGAGGAAGAAGGUCUUCGGAUUGUAAACUCCUAUUGUUGAGGAAGAUAAUGACGGUACUCAACAAGGAAGUGACGGCUAACUACGUGCCAGCAGCCGCGGUAAAACGUAGGUCACAAGCGUUGUCCGGAAUUACUGGGUGUAAAGGGAGCGCAGGCGGGCGAUCAAGUUGGAAGUGAAAUCCAUGGGCUCAACCCAUGAACUGCUUUCAAAACUGGUCGUCUUGAGUAGUGCAGAGGUAGGCGGAAUUCCCGGUGUAGCGGUGGAAUGCGUAGAUAUCGGG
rnacentral:rRNA from 1 species